rnacentral:rRNA from 1 species
AGUGAACGCUGGCGGUAGGCCUAACACAUGCAAGUCGAACGGCAGCACAGUAAGAGCUUGCUCUUACGGGUGGCGAGUGGCGGACGGGUGAGGAAUACAUCGGAAUCUACUUUUUCGUGGGGGAUAACGUAGGGAAACUUACGCUAAUACCGCAUACGACCUACGGGUGAAAGCAGGGGAUCUUCGGACCUUGCGCGACUGAAUGAGCCGAUGUCGGAUUAGCUAGUUGGCGGGGUAAAGGCCCACCAAGGCGACGAUCCGUAGCUGGUCUGAGAGGAUGAUCAGCCACACUGGAACUGAGACACGGUCCAGACUCCUACGGGAGGCAGCAGUGGGGAAUAUUGGACAAUGGGCGCAAGCCUGAUCCAGCCAUACCGCGUGGGUGAAGAAGGCCUUCGGGUUGUAAAGCCCUUUUGUUGGGAAAGAAAAGCAGUAGGUUAAUACCCCGCUGUUCUGACGGUACCCAAAGAAUAAGCACCGGCUAACUUCGUG